GUGCCAGCAGCCGCGGUAAUACAGAGGGUGCAAGCGUUAAUCGGAAUUACUGGGCGUAAAGCGUGUGUAGGUGGUUUUCUAAGUCAGGUGUGAAAUCCUCGGGCUCAACCCGAGAACUGCAUUUGAUACUGGAAGACUCGAGUGUGGUAGAGGAUGGUGGAAUUCCCGGUGUAGCGGUGAAAUGCGUAGAUAUCGGGAGGAACAUCAGUGGCGAAGGCGGCCAUCUGGACUAACACUGACACUGAGACACGAAAGCGUGGGGAGCAAACAGGAUUAGAUACCCCCGUAGUCC
rnacentral:rRNA from 1 species